AGGAUCUUUUGAGCUAUUGGUCA
rnacentral:siRNA from 1 species